rnacentral:rRNA from 1 species
AUGAUCUCCUCUUGCCUUUCCCCCUGUUUCCCCUCUCGUUUGCUCUCGUUGGGUAUUUCGCUGUGGCCGAGAACCACCGUCCGCCAUGGCCAUUGCAGGGGUAGGCACCGAACUCCUCGGAUUGACCCCGUGGCAUAUGCCCGCUCCUAUGCACGCCCAUGCCUGAGCCUACCGCUCUUCUUCCGCGCUCGCGGGGCCACUCCCUCUCCAUGUCCACGCCUGUGCUACACAGCAUCGGUCGCACCCGCCGCUGCCGUCGCGCUCGCCGCAGCCACCGCACCACUAUGCCCCGCGCGACACACAUCCUGGUCGCGCGCCACACUCUCGCUGGCUGCGCUCGCCCCGUCUGCUGCCGCCUAUCCCUUCGCCCGCCCCGCUGUCGCGCCCCUGCCUCGCGCCGCCUCCAGUCGUGGCCAUCUUCUGUCGGCCGCCCCCUCGGCCACGCCAGCCGCAUCUCUGCCCUCCACCGUCGGCCGCUCGCCUCGCCUGCUGCGUGUUGCUUCCUGCUGCUAUGCGCUGCUCUACCGCUGAGGAGCAGAGGAGUUAGUGGUGUUUUGGAAAGAAUGGGGGAUCCAGGCACUGGUGCUGCUAAGCUUCACGCUGCAGGUGAUUCUCCUCAUCACGGCGGAGAUCCGUCCGCUCAUAGACUCCGGCAUGCUCAGAGCCAUCGUUUGGUUGGCGUACCAGCUCGCCGACACGACGGCCAUAUACGUUUUGGGCCACAUGUCUGUGAUCGGCAGUCAGAGUUUGCCUGAGCACCAGCUGAUGGCGUUUUGGGCGCCGUUCCUGCUGCUUCACCUUGGUGGCCAGGACAACAUCACCGCAUACUCCAUCGAAGACAACCGGCUGUGGAUGCGACACCUCCAGAUUUUUGCGGUGCAGGUGCUGGCAGCUGGCUAUGUCCUCUAUGAGUCCUCUCUUGUGCUCCAUCAGACUUUGCUCCGUCAGGCUGCCAUCCUGAUGUUUGUGGUUGGUGUUGUCAAGUACGGGGAGAGAGUAUGGGCGCUCAAGCGUGCUAGCAGUAGUAACCUAUCGGGCAAGAAUUAUCAGAGUUUUGGCACUGUGCAUAUCAGAAAUCGCGGUGUCUCUGUGAUAAUUUCAGGCCACAACUACGGAGUGAUGCCGGCUCACCAGCUAUUGUGUUUCCCUAUGCAUUUGUUGAAGGGACCGUUGCCUCUUGUAGCACUUGGAAUGACAGUGCUGGAAUAUGAGUGGAGCUCAUUAUACCAGAUGGCUGAGGUGCAGCUUUCGAUCAUGUACGACAUCUUCUACAGUAAGGCCCCGGUGAUCCACACCUGGUAUGGGAUUUGCAUCCGUGUCAUGUCGCCAUUGGCCACUAUCACCGCAUUCAUGUUGUUGCGUCGAUUCAGCGACGAAGAUGGUGACAAGUACAACGCAGUAGAUGUCGCUGGCACCUAUGUUUUGCUGGCUGGCGCCAUCAUCCUGGAGAUCACAUCAUUGCUGCGAGCCAUGUUCUCCAGCUGGGCACAAGCAGCUGUGUUAACAAUUCAGCCUUUUCAAAGGUAUGGUGGGAAUAGUUGCGUUGGAUUAGUUAAGAAGACAUUUUGCAGCUAUCUUCUGUAUCUGGUUAGCUUGCCCCGGGCUCUCCUUAGUUAUGCAAUGUCAAAUGCAGGACUGCCAUUGCGGUAUUGGUCGGGCUCCAUGGGGCAGCACAACUUUAUCCACCUGUGCACCGAUAGCAGGGACAAUCGGAGCAGCAAAAUCGCAAGGUGGAUGGGACGUGAGGACUUGUGGAACAUGCUGGUUUACACUCAGUCCAUUCCAGUUCCAGAAGAUUUCAGCCAUCUGCUUGACAGACAACUGCGGCGAAGCGUGAGCAUCAUCAAAGAGAGCCCAGAUCACAUCCAAAACUCACGGGGCCAGGCGGCACUGAAGAGGAUGGGAAUACCGCAAGAGGAACUAGUCAGCUGGAGCGUGGGCAUCGAACUGGACGAGAGCAUCCUCGUGUGGCACAUCGCCACUCAUGUCUACCUCAGUUGGCACGAUGAGAGAUACCCGCCCCGGCCAGCUCUUGCUGACACGAUUCAGGUGCUCUCCAACUACAUGUUUUUCCUGCUCGCCGCACGCCCACACAUGCUGCCCAACAAUGCUAGUCGCCAGAGGUAUAUCGAAUUGUGCAAUAAGGUGGUAAACUGUCUCAAGUAUAGCUCAGCAGAAGAUCUGGUCAGUUUAAUACGGGAGCGUGGGAAAGCACUUGAUACUCCUGAGAUUGCUCAGACACUGGAACAUGAUCCAUCUCGGUCUAGCUGUUCGGCUGAGGAGACUAAUGGGGCAUUGCAAGAGAACUUAACAUUUGACAGAGCAUCUCAGCUUGGCGAAAAGCUGAUAGACAUGACGUUAGAUACACCUGCUACAAGUGCUGACAUGUUGGACCUCAUCUCUCAAGUGUGGAUGGAGAUGCUGUGCUACGUGAGCUACAGGUGCACACCAGAUUCCCAUGCCAGACAACUCAGCAACGGCGGAGAGAUCACGACCGUCGUUGCUAUUCUCAUGGAAUACAUGAAAUCGGAUAUCUUUGACUCCAAACGUGUUGGACUCACAGCAUCCGAUCGUCCAUAG